rnacentral:rRNA from 1 species
ACGAACCGUCCAAACGUUAUUCGGAAUCACUGGGCUUAAAGGGUGCGUAGGCGGCCCUGCAAGUUGGGUGUGAAAGCCCACGGCUCAACCGUGGAAUUGCGCCCAAAACUGCAGGACUUGAGGGAGACAGAGGUGAGCGGAACUUAUGGUGGAGCGGUGAAAUGCGUUGAUAUCAUAAGGAACACCGGUGGCGAAGGCGGCUCACUGGGUCUCUUCUGACGCUGAGGCACGAAAGCUAGGGUAGCGAACAGG